rnacentral:rRNA from 1 species
UACGUAGGGUGCGAGCGUUGUCCGGAAUCAUUGGGCGUAAAGAGCUCGUAGGCGGUCUGUUGCGUCCGCUGUGAAAACUCGGGGCUUAACCCCGAGCCUGCAGUGGAUACGGGCAGACUAGAGGUAGGUAGGGGAGAAUGGAAUUCCCGGUGUAGCGGUGAAAUGCGCAGAUAUCGGGAGGAACACCGGUGGCGAAGGCGGUUCUCUGGGCCUUACCUGACGCUGAGGAGCGAAAGCGUGGGGAGCGAACAGG